UUCGCCCUUAGAGUUUGAUCCUGGCUCAGGACCCACGCUGGCGGCGCGCCUAACACAUGCAAGUCGAACGAGCGAGAGAGAGCUUGCUUUCUCGAGCGAGUGGCGAACGGGUGAGUAACGCGUGAGGAACCUGCCUCAAAGAGGGGGACAACAGUUGGAAACGACUGCUAAUACCGCAUAAGCCCACGGGUCGGCAUCGACCAGAGGGAAAAGGAGCAAUCCGCUUUGAGAUGGCCUCGCGUCCGAUUAGCUAGUUGGUGAGGUAACGGCCCACCAAGGCAACGAUCGGUAGCCGGACUGAGAGGUUGAACGGCCACAUUGGGACUGAGACACGGCCCAGACUCCUACGGGAGGCAGCAGUGGGGAAUAUUGCACAAUGGGGGAAACCCUGAUGCAGCGACGCCGCGUGGAGGAAGAAGGUCUUCGGAUUGUAAACUCCUGUUGUUGAGGAAGAUAAUGACGGUACUCAACAAGGAAGUGACGGCUAACUACGUGCCAGCAGCCGCGGUAAAACGUAGGUCACAAGCGUUGUCCGGAAUUACUGGGUGUAAAGGGAGCGCAGGCGGGAAGACAAGUUGGAAGUGAAAUCCAUGGGCUCAACCCAUGAACUGCUUUCAAAACUGUUUUUCUUGAGUAGUGCAGAGGUAGGCGGAAUUCCCGGUGUAGCGGUGGAAUGCGUAGAUAUCGGGAGGAACACCAGUGGCGAAGGCGGCCUACUGGGCACCAACUGACGCUGAGGCUCGAAAGUGUGGGUAGCAAACAGGAUUAGAUACCCUGGUAGUCCACACUGUAAACGAUGAUUACUAGGUGUUGGAGGGAUUGACCCUCUCAGUGCCGCAGUUACCACAAAAAGUAAUCCACCUGGGGAGUACGACAGCAAGGUUGAAACUCAAAGGAAUUGACGGGGGCCCGCACAAGCAGUGGAGUAUGUGGUUUAAUUCGACGCAACGCGAAGAACCUUACCAAGUCUUGACAUCAUGCGACGCACAUAGAAAUAUGUGUUUCCUUCGGGACGCAGAGACAGGUGGUGCAUGGUUGUCGUCAGCUCGUGUCGUGAGAUGUUGGGUUAAGUCCCGCAACGAGCGCAACCCUUACUGUCAGUUACUACGCAAGAGGACUCUGGCAGGACUGCCGUUGACAAAACGGAGGAAGGUGGGGAUGACGUCAAAUCAUCAUGCCCUUUAUGACUUGGGCUACACACGUACUACAAUGGCGUUAAACAAAGAGAAGCAAGACCGCGAGGUGGAGCAAAACUCAGAAACAACGUCCCAGUUCGGACUGCAGGCUGCAACUCGCCUGCACGAAGUCGGAAUUGCUAGUAAUCGUGGAUCAGCAUGCCACGGUGAAUACGUUCCCGGGCCUUGCACACACCGCCCGUCA
rnacentral:rRNA from 1 species